GCCAGACUCCUACGGGAGGCAGCAGUGGGGAAUAUUGCACAAUGGGGGGAACCCUGAUGCAGCGACGCCGCGUGAGUGAAGAAGUACUUCGUUAUGUAAAGCUCUAUCAGCAGGGAAGAAAAUGACGGUACCUGAGUAAGAAGCCCCGGCUAACUACGUGCCAGCAGCCGCGGUAAUACGUAGGGGGCAAGCGUUAUCCGGAUUUACUGGGUGUAAAGGGAGCGUAGACGGCAGUGCAAGUCUGGAGUGAAAGGCGGGGGCUCAACCCCCGGACUGCUCUGGAAACUGUACGGCUGGAGUGCAGGAGAGGUAAGUGGAAUUCCUAGUGUAGCGGUGAAAUGCGUAGAUAUUAGGAGGAACACCAGUGGCGAAGGCGGCUUACUGGACUGUAACUGACGUUGAGGCUCGAAAGCGUGGGGAGCAAACAGGAUUAGAUACCCGUGUAGA
rnacentral:rRNA from 1 species